rfam:Lupinus angustifolius cultivar Tanjil chromosome LG20, whole genome shotgun sequence.
CAACUGCUAAUUCUAUGCGACUUAAUCGAUUAAGUCAUAGCUGUAAUCGAUUAACUAGAUAAUUUUCCAAAAUAGGGCUUUGGUGCAAAUAGCGGUGAGUAGAAACUGUGACACCUAUUCAACCCCCCCUUCUAAGUAUAUUCUGUCACUGAUACCUAACAAACCGGUCGCCCUCGGUGUCCGAAUUGUAGUGUGGAGAAGCAUCCUCAAAGGCGGAUCGGGCCCAAGUCCCCUGGAAGGGGGCACUGGAGAGGGUGAGAGCCUCAUCAUGCCCGAAACCUGAAGCACCACGAGGCAUUGUUGGCGAUUCGAGUUGUUUGGGAAUGCAGCCCCAAUCGGGCGGUAAAUUCCGUCCAAGGCUAAAUACUAGCGAGAGACCGAUAGUGAUCAAGUAUCACGAGGGAAAGAUGAAAAGGACUUUGAAAAAAGAGUCAAAGAGUGCUUCAAAUUGACGGGAGGGAAGCAGAUGGGGGUCGACAAUGUGCGUCGGUCAGAUAUGGAAUGGCGAGAGCCGAUCUGCCAAUCGACUCAGGGCAUGGAGCGACGUGAAUUGUGAUGGUGGCCCAAGCCCGGGUUGUUGACAUGCUCUUGGAGACGUCAUCAUCGCUAUUAUGGUUGGAAGAUCGCGUUGUUUGGUGUGCUUUGGCACCUGUGUGCUCCGGGCGUCGGCCUGUGGGCUCCUCAUUCGGCCCGUCUUAAAACACGGACCAAGGAGUCUGACAUGUGUGUGAGUCAAAUGGCAAGUAAACUCGUAAGGCGCAAGGAAGCUGAAUGGUAGGAUCCCCUUUUGGUAAGGAUAAUUGGCGAUGCGGGAUGAAUCGGAAGCUGGGUUACGGUGCCCAACUGCGCGCUAACCUAGACCCCACAAAGGGUUAUGGUUGAUUAAGACAGCAGGACGGUGGUCAUGGAAGUCAAAAUCUGCUAAGGAGUGUGUAACAACUCAACUGCCGAAUAAACUAGCCCCAAAAAUGGAUAGCACUAAAGUGCACGACUUAUACCCGGCCGUUGGGGCAAGGACUAGGAACCGAUGAGUAGGAGGGCACGCCGGUUGCUGCAAAACCUGGGGCGUGAGCCUGGGUGGAGAGAUCGUCGAUGCAGAUCUUGGUGGUAGUAGCAAAUAUUCAAAUGAGAACUUUGAAGGCCGAAGAGGGGAAAGGUUCUAUGUGAACGACACUUGCAUAUGGGUUAGUCGAUCCUAAGGGACGGGGGAAGCCUAUCUAAUAGCGCUCUAAGUGUGCAGUCCGAAACGGAAUCAGGUUAAAAUUCCUGAAACGGGACGUGGCAGCUGACGACAACGUUAGGGAGUCCGAAGACGUUGGUAGAGGCCGCGGAAAGAGUUAUCUUUUCUAUUUAAUAGACUGCCCACCUUGGAAACGGCUCAGCCGGAGGUAGGGUCCAGUGGCUGGAAGAGCACCGCACGUCGCGUGGUGUCCAGUGCGCCCCCGAUGGCCCUUGAAAAUCCAGAGGACCGAGUGCCCUCCCACACCCGGUCGUAUUCAUAACCGCAUCAGGUCUCCAAGGUGAACAACCUGUGGUCGAUGGAACAAUGUAGGAAAGGGAAGUCGGUAAAAUGGAUCUGUAACCUCGGGAAAAAUAUUGGCACUAAGGGUUGGGCAUGGGGGUCCCAGUCCCGAACCCAUCGGUUGUCGGUGGACUACUCGAGCUGCUCUCACAGCGAGAGCGGGUCGCCACGUGCCGGUCGGGGGACGGAUUAGGAACGGGCCCUUCAGGGCCUCUUCCCCGGGCGUCGAACAGUCGACUCAAAACUAGUACGGACAAGGGGAAUUCGACUAUUUAAUUAAAACAAAGCAUUGCGAUGGUCCCUACGGAUGUUGCCGCAAUGUGAUUUCUUCCUAGUGCUCUGAAUGGGAAAGUGAAGAUAUUCAGCCAAGCGCGGGUAAACGACGGGAGUAACUAUGACUCUCUUAAGGUAGCCAAAUGCCUCGACAUCUAAUUAGUGACGUGCAUAAAUGGAUUAACGAGAUUCCCAUUGUGCCUGUGUACUAUCCAACAAAACCACAGCCAAGGGAACAGGCGUGGCAGAAUCUGCGGGGAAAAAAGACCCUGUUGAGCUUGAAUCUAGUCUGACAUUGUGAAAUGACUUGAGAGGUGUAGGAUGAGUCGGAGCUGGAAACAACAGAAGUGAAAUACCACUACUUUUAACGUUAUUUUACUUAUUCCUUGAAUUGGAGGCGGGGUGUAGCCCCUGUUUUUGGACCCAAGGUCGGCCUUGGUGGUCGAUCUGGGCGGAAGACAUUGUCAAGUGGGGAGUAUGGCUAGUGCAGCACAUCUGUUAAAAGAUAACGCAAGUGUCCUAAGAUGAGCUCGACGAGAACAUAAAUCUCAUGUGGAACAAAAGGGUAAAAGCCGAUUUGAUUCUGAUUUCUAGUACGAAUACGAACUGUGAAAGCAUGGCCUAUCGAUCCUUUAGUCCUUCAGAAUUUGAAGCUAGAGGUGUCAGAAAAGUUACCACAUGGAUAACUGGCUUGUGAUAGCCAAGCGUUCAUAGCAAUGUUUUUUUUAUCCUUCGAUGUCGGCUCUUCCUACCAUUGUGAAGCAGAAUUUACCAAGUGUUGGAUUGUUCACCCAAAAAUAGGGAACAUGAGCUGGGUUUAGACCAUCGUGAGACAGAUUAGUUUUACCCUACUGAUGACAGUGUCACAAUAGUAAUUCAAUCUAGUAAGAGAGGAACCAUUAAUUCGCACAAUUGGUCAUUGCGCUUGGUUGAAAAGCUAGUGGUGCGAAGCUACGGUGCGUUCGAUUAUGUCUGAAUGCCUGUAAGUCAGAAUCCGGGCUAGAAGCGAUGCUUGUGCUCGUCACUCAUUUGUCGACCUGCAGUAGGGGGCCUCGGCCGCAUAGAGUCCCGUGUCAUUGGUGACCCUCGCAGGGUAGACGAACCUCGUGGGAUGCCUUGAAGCGCUAUUCCACACUGGGCAGCAGGUAGAAUCCUUUGCAUAUGAAUUAAAUACGCGACGGGGUGUUUUAAGUGGCAGAGUGGCCUUGCUGCCAUGAUCCACUUAGAUUCAAUCCUUGUCGCUUCGAUUCGU